rnacentral:rRNA from 1 species
UACGAAGGGGGCUAGCGUUGUUCGGAUUUACUGGGCGUAAAGCGCACGUAGGCGGAUCUUUAAGUCAGAGGUGAAAUCCCAAGGCUCAACCUUGGAACUGCCUUUGAUACUGGGGAUCUCGAGUCCGGGAGAGGUGAGUGGAACUGCGAGUGUAGAGGUGAAAUUCGUAGAUAUUCGCAAGAACACCAGUGGCGAAGGCGGCUCACUGGCCCGGUACUGACGCUGAGGUGCGAAAAGCGUGGGGAGCAAACAGGG